rnacentral:lncRNA from 1 species
CCUCUUCGACAUACCAGGUACGUACCCUAAUUUCGAGGGCGAAAUUUCAUAAGAAGGGGAGGUUGUAAGACCCCAACUUUUAUGAAUAAAGAUGAAUUUUCUAUAAAUAUCAUUUUUGAAUAUUAUGGAGUGAAUUUGAUAUAAUGUUAUAGUUGUGGGUAAUAUUUAUAAAUUUUGCAAAGUACGCAAGUUGUUAUAUAAUAUUCGAUUGGUCGGGGAAUAUUCGUUUUAACAGGGAAUAUUCGUACAACGGCACAAUCAUUGGUGGACCCCACAACGGAAUUAUUGUCGGAUUGAGAAAACGACAAAAAUACUUUAUGAAAAUAACGGCGGAAGUUUUACCGUUAACUGUUGAAACACCCGGUGUUAAAAGUACAGUAAUACGCGUGGUUGCAUAGUAGCACACGGUAUUAAUUAUUGAUGCUUACGUGAUAAGUCACUCAGUUUUGUUGGUAUUAUUAAUGUAAUAAUACAGAAAAUCUUUUUAUAUAAAACAGAAUACUUUUAUAAAGUUAUUCUAUAAAUAGAAUAUAUUAUAUUCUAUUAUGCAUAGUGUUGCAUAGUGUCUGCAUAGUGUUUUGCAUAGUAAAAUCUUUUUAUAUAAAACAGAAUACUUUUAUAAAGUUAUCUGUUUUAUUAGACAAUAAUUAGAAUAUAUUAUAUUUUAUUAUGCAUAGUGUUUGCAUAGUGCCUGCAUAGUGUUUGCAUAGUAAAAUCUUUUAUAAAGUUAUUCGUUUUAUUAGAUUAUAAAUAGAAUAUAUUAUAUUUUAUUUAAAAGAUUUUGCUUUAAAUAUGGACCGUCAGAUUAAAGUAAAUCAAUCUGGACCGUUCAUGAGUUAGUUACUAUGCAGUCCAUUUUUCUAUAAAUAGAAGCUCAUUCCUUCAUUAUUUUCUUACGAAUUCACUGAAACUCUAGAGAGAUAAACUAUAGAGAGAAAGAAGAAAGUAUUCUGCUACUUCACUACUUAUAUAUCCAGUACUCUUCUUCUUAAGGUAGGGAAUAUUAUUUGUUGUACUCGUAAGGGGUGUUAUUCUUUUGUAUUCAUGAAGAGAACUUAUGUUAUUCCAUUCUUUAUUAUUCUGUUGGAAUAACCUGUAUACGCGGGCUACCCUAUACUUGGUGACAUUCUUCUAUUAUUCCGUCUUUACUAUUCUUUUGGAAUAUCCCGUCUAUACGUUUUAUGCCGGACCUGAUUCCGUCUUUAUUAUUCUGUUGGAAUAUCCUGUCUAUGCAUUUUACGCCGGACCUGGUUCUGUCUUUAUUAUUAUUCUGUUGGAAUAUCCUGUCUGUGCGUUUUACGCCGGACCUGAUUCCGUCCAUAUUAGUAUUCCGUUGGAAUAACCUGUCUAUGCGAAGUACCGCAUGCAUGGUGAUUUCUGUUGUUAUUCCAUUCCUUAUUAUUCUGUUGGAACAUCCUAUCGGUGCGAAUUUCGCUUUACCUGGUUCUGUUAUUUAGUAUUCUGUUGGAAUAACCUGUCUAUGCGAAGCACCGCAUGCAUGGUGAUUUCUUUUGUUAUUCCAUUCUUUAUUAUACUCAGUUGGUUAAAGUUUUGACUUCUAUACUCCAUGAAAUUAUUGGAAUAUCCUUGAUAAUUGCGCUUCAUCCAGUAUCUUUUCAUGAAAAUAUUCUUCUGAGCAUUCUUGAAUUUUACUCAACAAAACAGUAUUAUGUUGACAAUUUGUACGUUAUUGAUUCUUGGACAAAUUAAUUCUUGAACUUGUUUUUAUUGAAUUCUUAUAUCAUUGUCAUCAUCCUCAUAUUUAUAUUUUUUGAAAGUCAUCUGUGUCCUGUAGUGCAUAGAUGGACUUGGUAUGAUUAUGACCAGGGAUUAUUCGGUGUAAUCAUNNNNNNNNNNNNNNNNNNNNNNNNNNNNNNNNNNNNNNNNNNNNNNNNNNNNNNNNNNNNNNNNNNNNNNNNNNNNNNNNNNNNNNNNNNNNNNNNNNNNUGAGGGGUCCUUGUCCGAAGGGACUAAAUGAAGCCAGGGCCGGAAGGGUCCAUGUCCGGAGGGACUAAACGAAGUUCCAAGCCUGCUGGUCUUGAAGAGUUCCUAGGGAACUAGUGGAGUCCCAAGGCUGCUGGCCUUGAAGAGUUCUUAGUGAACUGAAGUCCCAAGGCUGCUGGCCUUGAAGGAAUCUUAGUGAUUCAGGGUGCUGCCCUUCCUUAGUGGAAAUCCUUCUAGUUGAAAGCAGAAGAGUGGAUUAGGAGCUUGAGUCUCUGAACCACUUAAAACCCCUUGUGUCUUUUACAUUAUGUCAUUUACAUUAUGUACUAUAACUGCUAUAACUGCUAUGUAUAUUUUAACUGCUUAUAACUAAACUUACUCUACGAACAAUGUAUGUAUAAUUAUGAAUAUAUCAAUGAAGGGGAUCUUUUACUUAUUCCGCUGUGCUUGAAAAGAUUCUUAUGUUUGUUAUAUGCUAAUUUAAUAGCUAUACAAAAUAAUAGAGAAAAGUAUUUGAAAUAAAAAAGAUCUAUUCAACCCCCCCUUCUAGAUCUAUUGUGCCUACUGGGAACUAACAGAUACAAUUUGAGUAGUAAUAUCCUUGUUUGUGUAUAACAGAUUUAAGGUUGAACUUGUACAAUAAAGAGUUAAUUGUUCUCACAAACUCAAAAGAAUAAAACUUCAAUGCGCAAAGCAAUUUACAUAUACAAAUUUCAAAUUAAAAUAUCUGAGAAUGGAAAGGAGAUCAUGUGUUAUUACGAGUUGCUCUGUGGAAAGGAGUUACGAGAUUUGAAAAGAGAGGAAAACUCAAUCCUUGAUUCAUUGGCCCAUUUUUAAUCCUCGAUCGAGUAGGAACUGUGGCCUAUAGACUCUCUUUACCGCCAAGUAUGUCUCGUGUUCAUAACGUUUUUCACAUAUCCAUGUUACAUAAAUAUGUGAAAGACCCGAACCACAUUAUUGAGUUAGAACCGGACGAAAUAGCGGAAGAUUUGACGUAUGAAGAGGUUCCUGUUCAAAUCCUGGAUAAGAAGGAACAUAUUCUACGCUCCAAGGUUAUACCUCAAGUAAAAGUUUUGUGGAGAAACCACGAUGUUGAGGAAAUGACUUGGGAGUUAGAAUCUAAAAUGAAAUCAAGGUAUUAUCAUCUCUUCGAUAUACCAGGUACGUACCCUAAUUUCGAGGGCGAAAUUUCAUAAGAAGGGGAGGUUGUAAAACCCCAACUUUUUGAAUAAAGAUGAAUUUUCUAUAAAUAUUAUUUUUGAAUAUUAUGGAGUGAAAUUGAUAUAAUGUUAUAGUUGUGGGUAAUAUUUAUAAAUUUUGCAAAGUACGCAAGUUGUUAUAUA